rfam:Pan troglodytes isolate Yerkes chimp pedigree #C0471 (Clint) chromosome 5, whole genome shotgun sequence.
GCUGGGCGCGGUGACUCGUGCCUGUAAUCCCAGCACUUUGGGAGGCCGAGGCGGGUGGAUCACCUGAGGUCGGGAGUUCAAGACCAGCCUGACCAACAUGGAGAGACCUCGUCUCUA